GCCGCUCUGGUGGAAUUGGUAGACACGCCAGAUUUAGGUUCUGGUGCCUUACGGUGUCCGAGUUCGAGUCUCGGGGGCGGCACCA
rnacentral:tRNA from 1 species